rnacentral:rRNA from 1 species
UGAGGAAUAUUGGUCAAUGGACGAGAGUCUGAACCAGCCAAGUAGCGUGAAGGAUGAAGGUCCUACGGAUUGUAAACUUCUUUUAUAAGGGAAUAAACCCUCCCACGUGUGGGAGCUUGUAUGUACCUUAUGAAUAAGCAUCGGCUAA